UGUUUUCACUGCAUAUGGGCCGUUUCCUUGGAUAAGGCCAUUUCUUGAGGUCCGCCUGGAAGGACUUCAGUUCUCCGUCCUCUAGCACCAAGCUGCCUCAUGAGCCCCUCUGUGCAAAAUGUGUCGGUACUACCAGGGUCCAGGAAUGCAUAGGUCAGUAUACUUUUAUUUCCAUGGCAGAGUUUCACCUUCACUGGCACUAUGGCAAGUAUGCUGUCUUUACCAGCCCCAAUUCCUUCACCUUCUCCUACUGAAACAAGAGCACUGCUGAUGGAUGUCUCUUCAGGCCUUGCUCCUCCACUCUUCUGCUCUGUCUUAUCAUGUUUAAAGUUCUCAGUUUCAGGCUUAGAAGAUCUUUUAAUGUGCAGAAUAGUUGGGUGUCUAGCAUGACAGAUUUGACA